GACAGCAGUAGCCGCGGUAAUACGUAGGUCCCGAGCGUUGUCCGGAUUUAUUGGGCGUAAAGCGAGCGCAGGCGGUUAGAUAAGUCUGAAGUUAAAGGCUGUGGCUUAACCAUAGUACGCUUUGGAAACUGUUUAACUUGAGUGCAAGAGGGGAGAGUGGAAUUCCAUGUGUAGCGGUGAAAUGCGUAGAUAUAUGGAGGAACACCGGUGGCGAAAGCGGCUCUCUGGCUUGUAACUGACACUGAGGCGCGAAAGCGUGGGGAGCAAACAGGAUUAGAUACCCCCGUAGUCCCUGUCUCUUAUACA
rnacentral:rRNA from 1 species